rnacentral:rRNA from 1 species
UACGUAGGGGGCAAGCAUUAAUCGGAAUUAUUGGGCGUAAAGGGCGCGUAGGCGGAGAUGUAAGUCAGAUGUGAAAUCCCGGGGCUCAACCCCGGAACAGCAUUUGAAACUGCGUUUCUAGAGGGUAGGCGGAGAAAACGGAAUUCCACAAGUAGCGGUGAAAUGCGUAGAUAUGUGGAAGAACACCAGUGGCGAAGGAGGUUUUCGAGCUUAUACUUGACGAUAAAGCGCGAAAGCAUGGGGAGCAAACAGG